GACAGACAGACAGACAGACAGAGAGAGAGACAGAGGGGGGAGACAGAGACAGACAGACAGACAGACAGAGAGACAGAGACAGAGGGGGAGAGACAGACAGACAGACAGACAGACAGACAGACAGACAGACAGACAGACAGACAGACAGAGACAGACAGACAGAGGAGGUGAAUCACAGAGAGGCAGACAGACAGAGAAGUCAUGUUGCAUUCAUAAUGCAUGAGUAACCCAGUUUUAAAACCCGCCAGCAGAAUACUCUCUAGGGUGUGUGUGUGUGUGUGUCUGUGUGUGUGUCUAUGUGUGUGUGUGUGUGUGUGUGUGUGUGUGUGUGUGUGUGUGUGUGUGUGUGUGUGUGUGUGUGUGUGUGUGUGUGUGUGUGUGUGUGUGUGUGUGUGUGUGUGUGUGUGUGUGUGUGUGUGUGUGGCAAAUGCAAACAUGGCAAGACUUCAUCUUUGUGUGCUGGCAACAAAUGUUGUGCAUUACACACACACACUUGCAUUUCAAGGCAUCCAGGGUAAACCCCUGUCUCAUACAUCAUGUUGACAGAGAGUUGUAAAGCGUAAAGCCAGUCUUAAUCAAUAGUUGUAGUGUGUGUGCGCAUGUGUGUCAGGGUGUCCUCAAAGUCAGACGUGAUUCUCACAUAAGGCGUUUCAAAAUAAAUAAAUGAUAUAAAUAUGUCACACAAACAGGCCAACACUCCCAAUGGUAAGGCGGUGGGCUUAUGACUCCAGUCCUUCCACAUGUCUACGUUCACCAGACCCACCAAUGGACUCACUCCAAACAUGGACACACACAGGGUGUGUGUGCAUGGCUGGUGGACAUGUGUGCGUGCGCCUGUGUGUGUAUGUGCGUGCAUGAGCGCUUGUGUGUGCCUCUUUUGAGAUCAGGUAUUCCAGCUGGGUCAGGCUCUUGGCUCUCUGUAAUCUAAGAGGCAGUCAGAGAACCCCAAUAACUGGAGAGGGACGGGGAGCAGGGGGCAGUCUGAAGGUCUGUGUGACAGGCUGGGCCAGAGUGAGUGAGUGAGUGAGUGAGUGAGUGAGUGAGUGAGUGGGUGAGUGAGUGAGUGAGUGAGUGUUCAGGGGGAGGUGUCAAGGCAUGGGGGGAAGCCGAUUGGUUCAGAAAACGAGGUGGCGGAGCACAUCCGAUUGGAGGAGAGGAAUGAUGGAAUUCUCUGAUUGGUUUGUCGAAGACGACGUGAAGACGGGGUGUGAUGAAGACGCCUAAAGCUGAUGAAGAACGAUGGUGAGGAUGACGAUGGUGAGGAGGCUAUUGGGGAGAUGAAGGUGAUCACGAUGAAGAUGACGACAGAAGGACUCUGAUACCAGGAGUUAGAGGGGCGACUUGAGAACUGUUCAAUUCAGGAUUUCUAUUCUAUUGGUUUGAAACACUUCCAACAAUUCCACCUCAAUAAAUAAAAACGUUUGUAAAAGAUGUUGACCCUCCUCAAAGAGUUGAGUGCUGUUGAAGGAGGGACUGAACCAGCGUGCUCCAUGACACCAAGAGAGAGAGCAGAAUGAGGUAGAGCGAGCACGGCCUGCACUGCCCGCGGAGCAUUAGGAGAGGGAGGAGGAGAGGGAGGGGAGG
ensembl:lncRNA